rnacentral:lncRNA from 1 species
AGGAGAGGCAACCCGGCUCAGCUCCUCCUCGGUCCCCGCGCCAGCUUGGCGAUUCACCGCCGAAGGAGCAGGGCGCUUCUACCGCUUCCACCGAAGCAGGAAGGACGGAAGGGGAAGCCAGACAGAAAGGGAGCUGGCUGCCAAUAUAAAGUCUGUCUUCCGCUCUGCCCGCCUAUACGAAAUGCUCCCAGAGACAAUGUGAGAAGGCCUGCAAUUUUCUGUGCUUCUGGCAAUGGAAAGGAGAAGUAGAUAAGGAAAGAUCCCCCUCCAGAUGAUGAAUGCUACCCGAGCUCAUAUCGGUGAAGGGAACCUGUGCUAUUCGGUCGAAUGCAACCGCCCUUGCAAGACGUGGCUUGUCAGCGCUACUCAUCGAAGUGUAAACCCAUCUCUGAAGACCUGGCAGGCAGAAGUACUCUCCCCACCCCAACCCCACCCACGGACUUUGCAGCAUCAGUCCAUUUGUACACUCGGAUCUCUAAGGAAAACAGCAUCAUCGACGUGAAUGACAGCUGCAGCGGGAGCCGGGGAGCGGGCGGUCAGAUGCUCCGCCGGGGCUGUCCACUCCGCGGGCACUGAAAACGUCAGGGAAGGUCUCUCUUGGAGCCAACGCGGACUUGACAAAACAGUUGACAAUUAGGGCAAAGCACGUACGGCAGAAUCAUUAGAACCCACAGAAGCCCCGGCCCCAGCGGCGACACCGCGGCGUGGCGAUGCCCCCGUGGCUUCGGAAAUACCCGCUAUCCCUUUAAAAAGUACCCCCCGCAGGCCGGAAGUGACCGCUCGGCGCCACGAGUCGAGCCCCUCGGUGCAGCACGGCCUCGAGCCUCGCGCACGUCCGCGGUCCCGUGGGUUUCCUGCUCUUGCUGCAGUUCUCCGCCGCCAGUCCUCUCCGCGCGGGCAGUUCGGUCACUAAAUCUCAGAGACCCGGCGCCUCCCCCAAGCUCCAGCCUACGCCAGGCCUGCUUCCGGGUUCGGCCUGCGCUCCCGGCCCGCUCUAGUGACGCACUUCCGGUGGUGACCAGGCUUGGCUCCGCCCCAAGCUGACACGCGGGCUGAUCGGGUUCCCAGCCGUGCACUGUGCUGGGAGGACAGCGAAUUCCUGCACCGGGGACCAACUGCUCCGCCACGGCUCGGUCUCUGGGGUUUCUUACCGUCCUGGGCGGAAAUGGAUAGAAUCCGCCAGACCACACGACCCGGGGCCUAACUCUCCAGCCCUGUGACCGCGGCCGUCUGUGUCAAGCUCUCCCUUGGCUCUGCCCAGGGCCCUUGUCGCUUGGCGCUGGGACCUUCAGAAGUUGAAAGGGUUUGCCAGAGGCAUCUCAACCACCCUUUCUUAGACUGGCUUUGAAAUGGUGUCACCCACCCUCUUGGACUGAAUAUCUCAGGUCAUCUUAGGGUUUCCUCCCGGAAUUACUUAGUUUUACACAUUCUGGUUCAUCCUCUUCUCAAAGGUUGUUUUUUGGAUCGAGAAGUUCAGGCAGAAAGCGUUCACUUUCAGUUUUUCCUUGUAUCUCUCACGAUGCUGUAUGACUUGACCUCAUAAUCUGGUGUCUGGUUAAGUAUAAAACUAUUCUUUACUUCUCACCCCUCCACAGGGCUGUUUGGAUUGUUUCUUUUGUAAUAACGUAUUAUACCGUUUAGAAAACACAGGAAACACAGCUUGGGCGAGUUGGGUGUUUCCUGCUGAAAAUUGUGAAUAUAACGUUUCAU